rnacentral:rRNA from 1 species
GCAGGCUUAACACAUGCAAGUCGAGCGGAAACGAAGAUAGCUUGCUAUCAGGCGUCGAGCGGCGGACGGGUGAGUAACGCGUAGGAAUCUACCUAGUAGUGGGGGAUAGCCCAGAGAAAUUUGGAUUAAUACCGCAUACGCCCUACGGGGGAAAGGAGGGGAUCUUCGGACCUUUCGCUAUUAGAUGAGCCUGCGUGAGAUUAGCUAGUUGGUGGGGUAAAGGCUCACCAAGGCGACGAUCUCUAGCUGGUCUGAGAGGAUGAUCAGCCACACUGGGACUGAGACACGGCCCAGACUCCUACGGGAGGCAGCAGUGGGGAAUAUUGGACAAUGGGGGCAACCCUGAUCCAGCCAUGCCGCGUGUGUGAAGAAGGCCUUCGGGUUGUAAAGCACUUUCAGCGAGGAGGAAAGGUUGGCAAUUAAUACUUGUCAGCUGUGACGUUACUCGCAGAAGAAGGACCGGCUAACUCCGUGCCAGCAGCCGCGGUAAUACGGAGGGUCCGAGCGUUAAUCGGAAUUACUGGGCGUAAAGCGCGCGUAGGCGGUUAAGUCAGUCAGAUGUGAAAGCCCCGGGCUCAACCUGGGAACUGCAUUUCGAACUGACAAACUAGAGUUUUGUAGAGGGUGGUAGAAUUUCAGGUGUAGCGGUGAAAUGCGUAGAGAUCUGAAGGAAUACCAGUGGCGAAGGCGGCCACCUGGACAAUAACUGACGCUCAUGUACGAAAGCGUGGGGAGCAAACGGGAUUAGAUACCCCGGUAGUCCACGCCGUAAACGAUGUCAACUAGCCGACUGGCGCCUUGAGCGCUGGGUGGCGCAGCUAACGCAUUAAGUUGACCGCCUGGGGAGUACGGCCGCAAGGUUAAAACUCAAAUGAAUUGACGGGGGCCCGCACAAGCGGUGGAGCAUGUGGUUUAAUUCGAUGCAACGCGAAGAACCUUACCUACUCUUGACAUCCAGUGAACAUUGCAGAGAUACAUUGGUGCCUUCGGGAACAUUGAGACAGGUGCUGCAUGGCUGUCGUCAGCUCGUGUCGUGAGAUGUUGGGUUAAGUCCCGCAACGAGCGCAACCCCUAUCCUUAUUUGCCAGCACUUCGGGUGGGAACUCUAAGGAGACUGCCGGUGACAAACCGGAGGAAGGUGGGGACGACUUCAAAUCAUCAUGGCCCUUACGAGUAGGGCUACACACGUGCUACAAUGGUGAGUACAGAGGGAAGCGAACUUGCGAGGUGGAGCAAAUCUCAGAAAACCGGUCGUAGUCCGGAUUGGAGUCUGCAACUCGACUCCAUGAAGUCGGAAUCGCUAGUAAUCGUGAAUCAGAAUGUCGCGGUGAAUAGGUUCCCGGGCCUUGUACACACCGCCCGUCACACCAUGGGAGUGGGUUGCAAAAGAAGUGGCUAGUCUAACCUUCGGGAGGACGGUCACCACUUUGUGAUUCAUGACUGGGGUGAAGUCGUAACAAGGUAGCCCUAGGGGACCCUGGGGCUGG